rnacentral:lncRNA from 1 species
UCCCGGGAUCAAUACAGAAAAAACCUAUGAAUUAGAGUAGAGCAGUUGACGAUUAUUUCAAAUUUAUUGGAAGAAGAAUAGGUGUAGCAAAAAAUAAAAAUAGGAGCCCUUGGUAGCUUACGAGUUUACGUCCAUCUUUGGUUGGGUACAGUUUCCUUUUGAUUUUUCCCUUGUAGCCGUUACCCGAAUUCGCGCAAGUGUGUCCACACUCCCCAAACUGACUUAACGAGGAAUCCAUUCUCGCGAACAAACACAACCCCUACACACACCCAGGAGCACCCCUUCCUGCAUAUCCAUACAAGACCCGAGUAGGCGGGUCGAGGUCCUACGAGG